CAGCAGCCGCGGUAAUACGAAGGGUGCAAGCGUUAAUCGGAAUUACUGGGCGUAAAGCGUGCGUAGGCGGUGAGUUAAGUCUGCUGUGAAAUCCCCGGGCUCAACCUGGGAAUGGCAGUGGAUACUGGCUCGCUAGAGUGUGUCAGAGGAUGGUGGGAUUCCCGGUAUAGCGGUGAAAUGCGUAGAGAUCGGGAGGAACAUCAGUGGCGAAGGCGGCCAUCUGGGACAACACUGACGCUGAGGCACGAAAGCGUGGGGAGCAAACAGGAUUAGAUACCCCCGUAGUCCCUGUCUCUUAUAC
rnacentral:rRNA from 1 species